rnacentral:ncRNA from 2 species
CAUAUUGUGCACGCUUCAGGUGUCCCUAAGAACGUUCGAUCGAAGGGAUGAAACGGGAAGCCGGUGCGCGCUCGAGUUUCGACCCGAGCGCAAUCCCGGCGCUGCCCCCGCAACGGUAAGCAAGUAAGGGAAUCAGCAUCACGCCACUGUGCGUCAAGCAUGGGAAGGCGCUGCUCCCGGGGUUUUUGAACCCACUCGCGAGCCCGGAGACCGGCCUGAAGGUGUUGCAAUGG